rnacentral:rRNA from 1 species
UACGUAGGGACCAAGCGUUGUUCGGAUUUACUGGGCGUAAAGGGCGCGUAGGCGGCGUGGUAAGUCACUUGUGAAAUCUCUGAGCUUAACUCAGAACGGUCCAAGUGAUACUGCUGUGCUAGAGUGCGGAAGGGGCAAUCGGAAUUCUUGGUGUAGCGGUGAAAUGCGUAGAUAUCAAGAGGAACACCUGAGGUGAAGACGGGUUGCUGGGCCGACACUGACGCUGAUGCGC